rnacentral:rRNA from 1 species
CAGCCGCCGCGGUAAUACAGAGGGUGCAAGCGUUAAUCGGAAUUACUGGGCGUAAAGCGCGCGUAGGCCGUCGAGUAAGUCGGGUGUGAAAUCCCUGGGCUUAACCUGGGAAUUGCAUUCGAUACUGCCUGACUAGAGUGUGGAAGAGGGAAGCGGAAUUUCCGGUGUAGCGGUGAAAUGCGUAGAUAUCGGAAGGAACACCAGUGGCGAAGGCGGCUUCCUGGUCCAACACUGACGCUGAGGCGCGAAAGCGUGGGGAGCAAACAGGAUUAGAUACCCUGGUAGUCCACGCUGUAAACGAUGAGAACUAGAUGUUGGGGGGUAUAACCCCUCAGUGUCGCAGCUAACGCGUUAAGUUCUCCGCCUGGGGAGUACGGCCGCNNNNGUUGAAACUUAAAGGAAUGACGG